CCUACGGGUGGCUGCAGUGGGGAAUAUUGGGCAAUGGGCGCAAGCCUGACCCAGCAACGCCGCGUGAAGGAAGAAGGCCUUCGGGUUGUAAACUUCUUUUCUCAGGGACGAAGCAAGUGACGGUACCUGAGGAAUAAGCCACGGCUAACUACGUGCCAGCAGCCGCGGUAAUACGUAGGUGGCAAGCGUUAUCCGGAUUUACUGGGUGUAAAGGGUGUGUAGGCGGGGACGCAAGUCAGAUGUGAAAACCACGGGCUCAACCUGUGGCCUGCAUUUGAAACUGUGGGGCUUGAGUGCUGGAGAGGCAGACGGAAUUCGUAGUGUAGCGGUGAAAUGCGUAGAUAUUAGGAGGAACACCAGUGGCGAAGGCGGUCUGCUGGACUGCAACUGACGCUGAGGCACGAAAGCGUGGUGAGCAAACAGGAUUAGAUACCCGUGUAGUC
rnacentral:rRNA from 1 species